UACGUAGGUGACGAGCGUUGUCCGGAUUUACUGGGCGUAAAGAGCGCGCAGGCGGUCGUUCAAGUCGAGUGUGAAAGCCCCCGGCUCAACUGGGGAGGGUCAUUCGAUACUGAUCGACUCGAAGGCAGGAGAGGGUAGUGGAAUUCCCGGUGUAGUGGUGAAAUGCGUAGAUAUCGGGAGGAACACCUGCGGCGAAGGCGGGUUGCUGGGCCGACACUGACGCUGAUGCGCGAAAGCCAGGGGAGCGAACGGG
rnacentral:rRNA from 1 species